GGGGAAUCUUAGACAAUGGGGGCAACCCUGAUCUAGCCAUGCCGCGUGAGUGAUGAAGGCCUUAGGGUCGUAAAGCUCUUUCGCCUGUGAUGAUAAUGACAGUAGCAGGUAAAGAAACCCCGGCUAACUCCGUGCCAGCAGCCGCGGUAAUACGGAGGGGGUUAGCGUUGUUCGGAAUUACUGGGCGUAAAGCGCGCGUAGGCGGAUUAGAAAGUUGGGGGUGAAAUCCCGGGGCUCAACCUCGGAACUGCCUCCAAAACUGCUAGUCUAGAGUUCGAGAGAGGUGAGUGGAAUUCCGAGUGUAGAGGUGAAAUUCGUAGAUAUUCGGAGGAACACCAGUGGCGAAGGCGGCUCACUGGCUCGAUACUGACGCUGAGGUGCGAAAGUGUGGGGAGCAAAC
rnacentral:rRNA from 1 species